GUUGACCUCGGAUCAGGUAGGAAUACCCCGCUUGA
rnacentral:rRNA from 1 species